AAUAAAAUAAAAAAAAUACAACUUUUCCAACCCAACUCCCUAAUCAUGUCUAUUCAGGAAAAUAAUUUUUUACAUCAAAAAAAAAUUAUUAAAACAGAAAUUCAAUCAAACAACUCUUUCAUCCCAAUCCCUUAAUAAAAUGUUCAAGAAAAUAAUUUAUCGGAUAAAAAAAAAUUAUUAAAACAGAAAUUCAAAAUUUAUAAAUUUAUUAAUCACGUCAUUUCAAACAUUUGUAGGAUUAUUAGUUGUAUACUUGUAUUAGAUUUUUUCUUAAACAAAAAAAUACGCUUUUAAUUUAUAAAACAAUCCAUUCUUAUUCUAAAUUCUAAUCAACACACUAACUCACUAACUCAUACUCUAUACAUCAAUUUCUCUUCACUCAAUGCUCCAUUCAAAUAAUAAUAACAAUAAUAAUAACACUUCAUUAAAAUCUAUACCAAAAUACCAAACGACGUUCCCUUCAGUUUCUCUUUUCAAUAGUUCUUUAUAAAGGAUUUGAUUCCCAAAUUCGUCAUUGUUAAUUGUCGAAUCCUCUUUCCCUCUACUCCAGCGAUCUCUCUGAUUUUUUCAAGGUGAAUAAUAUCCCAACAACAAUUUAACGACUUUGACUACAUGUUUGGUGAGUAAAAUGUGCUGAACUUUUUGACGAAAUGGGUGGUAAUAUGAGUUUUCGGCUACAGAUAAUGGCAAUAUAGGAAUGGAUGGAUAUGAGGCGAAAUGUAUUUCAAUACAUAGUUUAUAGCAGCUUACGAAGGUGCCAUAAACCCCAAGGGUCCUCAACUGCCACUCAUUCACGGAAAUUACAUCCACAUCUAAGAUUAUACCAAUUUCUUUGACAUUGUAAAAAUAUUGGAUUUCCAAUACUGUAGAAGUAUUCUUGCUACAAUAGGUUACUAUGUUUUAGGAUUUUUUUUUAAAGGUUUAGAUUGAUUCCUUGCGUUACGCUUAAUUUCAUUUUAAUUGUUUCUUUGAUUCAAUUGAAGGAUUUUUUGUGGCU